rnacentral:rRNA from 1 species
GACGUACGCUGGCGGCGUGCCUAAUACAUGCAAGUAGAACGCUGAAGAGAGGAGCUUACUCUUCUUGGAUGAGUUGCGAACGGGUGAGUAACGCGUAGGUAACCUGCCUUGUAGCGGGGGAUAACUAUUGGAAACGAUAGCUAAUACCGCAUAACAAUGGAUGACACAUGUCAUUUAUUUGAAAGGGGCAAUUGCUCCACUACAAGAUGGACCUGCGUUGUAUUAGCUAGUAGGUGAGGUAAUGGCUCACCUAGGCGACGAUACAUAGCCGACCUGAGAGGGUGAUCGGCCACACUGGGACUGAGACACGGCCCAGACUCCUACGGGAGGCAGCAGUAGGGAAUCUUCGGCAAUGGGGGCAACCCUGACCGAGCAACGCCGCGUGAGUGAAGAAGGUUUUCGGAUCGUAAAGCUCUGUUGUAAGUCAAGAACGGGUGUGAGAGUGGAAAGUUCACACUGUGACGGUAGCUUACCAGAAAGAGACGGCUAACUACGUG